rnacentral:tRNA from 1 species
GCUUUUAAAAGAUAGAAGUAAUCUAUUGGUCUUAGGCUCCAAACACUCAUGGUGCAACCCCGUGUAAAAGCU